rnacentral:rRNA from 1 species
AUUGAACGCUGGCGGCAGGCCUAACACAUGCAAGUCGAACGAGUGGCGGAUGGGUGAGUAAUGUCUGGGAAACUGCCCGAUGGAGGGGGAUAACUACUGGAAACGGUCGAUAAUAGCGCAUACCAUCGGAUGUGCCCAGAGUGGAUUAGCUAGUAGGUGGGGUAAAGGCUCACCGAGGCGGCGAUCCGUAGCUGGUCUGAGAGGAUGACCCGCCACACUGGAACUGAGACACGGUCCAGACUCCUACGGGAGGCAGCAGUGGGGAAUAUUGCACAAUGGGCGCAAGCCUGAUGCAGCCAUGCCGCGUGUAUGAAGAAGGCCUUCGGGUUGUAAAGUACUUUCAGCGAGGAGGCGUUACUCGCAGAAGAAGCACCGGCUAACUCCGUGCCAGCAGCCGCGGUAAUAC